GGAGGGCGCAUGUGAAUCGUAGAUUCAUAUUUAGGAUGCGCCCGACAACUUACCACAGAGCAAAGCGAUGUGGUGAUACCC
rnacentral:sRNA from 1 species